GAGAGAGAGAGAGCCUUUCGUUUUUAUCAGAACAACAACAACAAGCUCUGUCUGUGUAGCUUUGUUUCGUUCUCUCUCUGUGAUUUUCUCUCUCUUUUUUCUUUCAAUUACUUUCUUAGAAACCAAACUCGAAAAUUUACGACAGCUACACUAUAAAAGCUGAGGAUCUGGAUUCUGAACCUCGUGAAGAGAGAGAGAGAGAGAGGGAGAGAGAGAGAGGGAAAGAGAGAGAGAGUUCAGAACGUGGUUUCCUUAGCUGAUUUCGAAGAAGAUUGUGUUAAUUUUCAUUGAAAACAAGAAUUUUAGAGUUAAAGAGGUUACAUUUCGGAGAGAUUUGAGCUGUUUUUUAAGGAAUCUGAAACUUUUGUUUUGUCAUAUGAUAAAAAAAAAAAAUCAAGAGCGGUUAUCGGUUGGAGAGAUUAGAUUCUUACAUGGAAGUCGAAGAUUUACGCUCUGAAAUGUCAACAUUUUGUUGAAAUCUGAGUAAUACAGGGUAUCGGAAACUAUUGGGUUUCUCAGAUAGUGAUUCGGUGAGAUUUUCAGCUGUGUAUAAAAAUGGAUAAAGACUCUGUGAUGAGGAACCACCACACCAACAACAACAACAACAUUAGAGGAGGAGGUGAAGCGACGUCGUCGUUUUUGAGACCAAGUAUUGAUAGCAGUAGACAACAGGCAACGACGUCGUCUGAUUUCGGGUUCCAGUGGGGGAAUCGUAAGCGGCUUAGGUGUAUGAAAAUCCAGGUCAAGGACAAGGACCACGACUCGACUGGACCGGUUCAUAGGACCACGGUUCGCGUGGACCGCCGGGUCGUCCGAGCCGAUAAAGACUCGUCGAAUAGUCACCCCAGUAAUAAUGGGUAUUUGAAUCUGCGUCACCGACCCUCUUCUUCUCCUCCACCGCCACCUCAGCGAAUUCUCAGGAACUCUGCUGAGAUUACUUCAAGUGCUAUGAGGGGAGGCCAAAGCAACGGAGGAGGUGUGAGGGGAAUUGGUGCCUCACCGGACAGAGGGGGUGCGCACGAUAAGAAAGUGACACACACCAAUCACAAUAGCCACCACCACCACCCCCAUCACCAUCACCAGAAUGAGAAUAAUAUCAAUAAUCAUAAUAAGUCAGCGGCUGCUUCGUCCGAGACAGCGCACGAUAGCAAGAAAGGUGGUGGUGGUGGUGGCUCGUCGUCUGGGGGCAGCGGUGACGCUGGUGUAGCAGGUGCAGGAAGUGUUGUGUGGCCUCCAAAGUUCGUCAUUGCUUUGACCAACAAAGAGAAAGAAGAGGAUUUCAUGGCUAUUAAAGGCUCUAAGCUCCCUCAGAGACCCAAAAAGCGUGCCAAGUUCAUCCAGCGCACCCUCAAUCUUUGGACCAUACUGGCCAGUGGACAAAGCGCAAAAGGCACAUGAUGGCAUUGGCCACUAUGUACAUGCACUUAAGCAUGGCAAGGAGCUGGUGAGCCCAGGAGCAUGGUUGUGCGAUCUGACCCUGGAACGAUACGAGGUCAGGGAGAAGAAGAUAUCCAAGAAGAGACCAAGAGGGUUAAAGGCGAUGGGCAACAUGGAAUCUGACUCUGAGUAGAAGACAACCCUUUGGAAAGUGAAAAUUUUAGGAUUGCAAGAAAAUAUAGUGCUCAAUGAUGAUGAGGAAGAUGUGAGAAAUGUUAGAACUGUGUUGAUCAUCAUCACAUUUCACUUAUUGAAAGAAUGAAAAGAUAAAUUUUCAGUUA